CAGGAUUCCCCUAGUAACGGCGAGCGAACCGGGAACAGCCCAAGCCGAGAAUCCACGGUGCUUGCGCCUUGGAGUUGUGGCCUGGCGAGGUGUCUCCUGCGGGAACCGGUGCCCAAGUCUCCUGGAAAGGAGGGUCCGAGAGGGUGAGAACCCCGUCGGCCCCGGUGGCCCCGCUCCACGGAACGCCUUCGGAGAGUCUUGUUGUUUGGGAAUGCAGCAAAAAGUGGGUGGUAAAUCCCAUCUAAGGCUAAAUACCGACGGGAGACCGAUAGCGAACAAGUACCGCGAGGGAAAGAUGAAAAGAACUUUGAAAAGAGAGUUAAAAAGUGCUUGAAAUUGUUGAGGGGGAAGGCAUUCCAAGUCACAGCUGCCGCCCGUACUCCCAUCGUCCGAGAGGGCUUUGGAAUUUUCGGGCGGCGUGCCGGCAUCGAUCGGCGGCGCGGGACAAAGUAGUCCUUUGAUCGGUCUGCCAUGCCGUGUCGCCGAUCGAGGAAGCGGGGAGCCCCGGUCCUUCGGAACUGCUCCCCUCGGAUGC
rnacentral:rRNA from 1 species